UAAUUGCCUGCACCUGUUCCUAAUGCGUCACACCUGUGUCUAAUUAGCUCUCCUGUCUACAUAGUCUCUGUGCCUCCCUUGGUUCUUCGGUUCAGUUUGGUCUCAGCUCUGCACUGUGUUCCUUGUUUCCCUGGUUUUUCAUAUCCAUGUUCCUGAGUUUUAGUUUUUUUUUUGGAUUACCUGAGUUGUUACGAGUUCUUCUGUGUGUGUUUGGUCGAUGCCCGAGGAGGGGGACUCCGUAAUCCUCUGCACCGUGGAGGUCAAGUCCAUGUCACCGCAGACAGUUGAGGAGUGGGACAACAAUCCUGUGCAGUCAUCAAGUCAUGGCAGCAACACUUUCUUAAUUCAAGUGUUCAGCAAAACUGAUGACGUCUCCUCCUGGCACAAAUCAUGAAGGUGACAUCAUCCCACUACUCCAGUUGCAUACCAAACCCCAAGAGAGCUUUAAAUGCAACAAUCCGACCAAGGUACUGGAUUUAGAAAAGGAACAUCUGGAUUAUCUUUUGAUUUUUUCUUUUUUAGUUUAAAAAAUUCAUCAAGUGCACCUGUAACAUACAGACAGUGGAGCAGAUGUGAUCCUUUAGCGUCGCUAUGCAUUGCUACAAAGGAGCUGCUAGUUUUAAAGUACAAAACAGGUACAGUGAUACCGUUGUAGUGGUUCACCUGUGGUUUGACUGAAUAACAGUGAGCUUGACGUUAAUAAGGUUCAAAGCAACGCCUCGUUCACCUAACCAACAGAGCUGUUGAUCCAAGCUGUCCAAAUGAAAUGUUUGCUUCCGGAGCAUCUGGAACAGAUUGAGGGGAAAAGCCUGGGUUUGAUUUUAACAUUCGAAGGAAAGGUUGGGCAUUUAUCAGCUGUUUCUAAAAAAGCCUGUGUCUCUCCAGUGCAGUAGGAAAUCAUCGCUUCUGUUGCUUCAGAGGGGCUGUCGUGUGUAGGGCUGCAUUUUUGUUCUCAUGUCAUGUGUGUGAUGUCAGUUCCAUCAUAUUAUUUAUUUUUUUCCCCCCAUGUUUUAACUUCUUUAUUCACCCGACAAACUGUUUUUGAGACGUGUGUAUUUACCAGCUGAAUGAUGAGCACUAAGUUAAAGCUUUGCUGAUUCAAGAAGUCAAACAGAGAUAACUCUUCCCAGCACAAGCACCUCAAUCAUAGAAGGAAACUUUUAAUAAAAUGCUAAAGGGAAAAAAUAUAGAACAGGACUAAGAAGUCUACUGCCAUGCUUGCAGCUUUGUGAAGAUGUGACACAGUGUUGCUUUGAGUUAAAUGGCAUGGUUACUUGACUAGCACUACAUACUAAGAUUGAUGGGGAUGGUUAGUUUUGCUAGCCAAGAAUUCAAGUGAUCUCCAAAGACAACAGGAUUGGUAAUCCACCCUGUAGUCGUUAGGGAUAUUUCAGCCUGGGCCAAAGUGUUGGGACCCACCAACCAACCAACAGAGUGACAUUGCCAUCCAUAGAGCCAGGGCACUGAUGUGGCUAAACAUGCAGAUAAUAGACUUACAAGAAUGAUUACUCAUUCCUGGAGAAGUGGGGGAAAAGAGUAUUCAUCUUUCAGACUUCUGGAAAGAUGUGCACUUUUUUUUCUAUUUCAUUAAUUUUGCAAUUACAUCAUUGUGAUUGCGUGGACAAAGAUGUUUACAACAGGCCCUGGCUGUCCUUGUUUUGAUUAUAUCCAGGACAAACUGUUUGUGGUGUCGUGACAUCUUGUUAACAACUACUCUGACGUUGUCAGUGUGGAAAAAAUAAAUAAAUUGUAGAAUAUGAAAACAGCAGUUUGACAGAAAACAAUGAUUUAGUGCAUAAAGUGGACAUCUGCUUCCCUGCCCUAGUUCUAUAUCAGUGUUUUAUGAAUAAUUGUAUAUACCCAAAAUAUUCACAUUGGUGUU